UUACUUACCUGGACGGGGUCGAUGGGCGAUCAACAAGGCUCAUGGCUUAGGUCAGUGGCUUCCAUUGAACUUUAGGAAUUGUGCUGUCCUAAGGUCUGCCCAAGUGGCAGAGCCCAUGUCAUAAUUUGUGAUAGUGGGAGCCUGCGUUUGUGCGGAUCCCGU